GGACCCGCACAAGUAGUGGAGCAUGUGGUUUAAUUCGAAGAUACGCGCAGAACCUUACCCAACACUUGACAUGUUCGUCGCGACUUUAAGAGAUUAAAGUUUUCGGUUCGGCCGGACGAAACACAGGUGCUGCAUGGCUGUCGUCAGCUCGUGUCGUGAGAUGUUUGGGUUAAGUCCCGCAACGAGCGCAAACCCUCACUUUUAGUUGCCAUCAUUUAGUUGGGCACUCUGAAAAGAACUGCCAGUGAUAAAGCUGGAGGAAAGGUGGGGGAUGACGUCAAGUCCUCAUGGCCCUUACGUGUUGGGCUAACACACGUGCUACAAAUGGUAUCUACAACAGGAAGCAAAAACAGCGAUGUU
rnacentral:rRNA from 1 species